GCCUCAGGCUGACCAUAAUUUAAUACCGGCUACUAAUACGUUCCCUCCAUCGUUCUCUUGACCAGAUAAGAGUACCACCCUUCGUUCGUUCUACUUGCGUUCACGGGGUGAGUGCAUCUAUAGUGAUCUCUCGACGUUCGAAGGUAACCACAUUUGCUCGUCUAACUCGAUCGACUAUCAUCUGUCUCACAGCUUAAUGGUAAUUGGAAACGUGAUGGAUCCCAUCAUAAUAUCAGCUUCAGCAUGGUAAAGACUAAAGGUAUAAGGGACAUCUUAAGACCCAAGGGAAAGGUGGAUCUACGUUGUUCUGUUGAGACACUGGGGUUAUGGAAAAAGAGAAACGAAGUGGAAGCAAAGUGGAGCGAGGUACAUUCAUCAUAAGUUAUUAAACAAGGUAACAAAAGGCCACAGUGACUACGAAGGGUGUACGAAAAAAAAAGAAAGAAGAAAGAAGAACGAGAAACGGACGGAAGAAGAUAGAAUCGGCUAACUGGUAGACUUUCUGCGAUGAUAGAUGGCCAGAAGGAUUAAGAUAUUUUUCGACUCUCGACACCCUUUCUCUCCUCGGAAAUGUUAUUCCGGAAUAAAGAAGACGAUAGAUAAGGCACAUUGAAGAGGGAUAUUCGUGUUUUUGGAAUUAAGGGGUGGGUUGGCAAAAGUUGGAGCUCGAACAAGAACGUGCCUUGCUGGCAUACUAUCAUCCUGCCAUAGCACAACACAACCCUCUAUUUUCGAUUCUCUUCACCCUCUACGUCCUACCUAUACUCCUCUUUCUAUCUGCAAUCCUCCGACGCGGCACCUACCCUCUCGUACCUGUAACAUCAAUUAAAAUUCUCGUGGUCGAUGCGCCGCUGUUUCGUGCGAUCGUACGCCGUUUUUAAUUGGAUUAGAGCGAGACGGCUAGAGGGAGAGCACCGGUGGAUGCCAACCGGUGGAUGAAGAGGAAGAGAUAGAGGAGGAAGGAGAAACGAGCUGAGGGUGCGAGAUUACUGAAAGGGGUUCGUUGGAUAUUCGAACGAGAGGGUUGAUAGUAAAAGAGAAAGAGAAAGAGAGAUAGAAAGAUGAUCGUCCCAGGUAAAUAACAGAGACAAACAAGGUUUCAUCUCUUUUUUCAUUGUGAUCUAUGUCAAAAAUUGUGUUAGAUCAAUUUUCGAUAAUAAACAAAGAGUCAACAAUUUUAUAUGAAUUAAAUAAAUAUUAUUUCUAAAUUGAACAAUUUUACUUUGAAAAAGAAAGUAUUUUUUCUGUUUUAAGUAG